GGAUGCCAUUCGCAGUUAGUUCAGUAGCGUGGAUGGAGAAUAACGCGUGGCUGGAGGAACAAUUGAAAAAUGGAUAAGAUAAUACAACAAAAGGAUGAUCAAAUUAUGGACCUGCAGGCUCAAUUAUUGCAACAGCACAAAAUAUUAGAUAACAGCAAAGCUAAGGAUGCUCAAAGUUUGAGUCUACAAGCUCAGCUAGGGGAAAAGAACAAAUUGGAACGGAACAGCUUCCAAACAGUGAAGGAGGUUUUUCCAAACUCAAACCUAACUGAACAUGAGGAUGAAUUGGCAUUAGGCGAACACAGUCAGUUAUUCAGUCUACCACCUGACAGUGUGUUAAAUUUAAAUUCUGUUAGUGCUGCACAAAAAGAAUCGUUAGUAAUAAGCCCAUGCAGUGAAGGAAGUGAACAAUUGUGGGACCGUAUUUGGGCCGAAAAUGGGUGUGGUACGGAAACCAAGAUAUGGCACGAGUUCAACAUGAAACAUGGAUUAGAAUUUAAUGGGGGAUCAAAUCAAGUCUGGAAGUGUUACAGGAUGGAAGAGUCAGCCUACAGAUGAAAAAACACUGAGAGUGCAUUACCAUUAAGUACAACAGCAAUCCUUUAUAGUUCUGUCACAGCUAGAAACCUCAAAUAAUUCUGCUUCUCUGUCUAAAGAACAACUUGUCCUUUACAUUCAGAGUGUUGGGGAAACUGGGUACUUAAAUGGCCCUAAAGAUGUUUUAAUUUUGCUGCCAUUGCAGAGAUGAACAUCAUACAUGGACUCUUUAGGUCUAAUCUACCAAAAAAAAUUUUAUCCAAUAGGAAAGGAUUUUCAUGUACUGGGAACACAACUAUCAACAAUGCAACAUUGUACAGGUGCUAGUUUAUCAUUCAAGAGCCUUAUACAAUGAUGUUAAUCUGC